UACGGGGGGGGCAAGCGUUGUUCGGAAUUACUGGGCGUAAAGGGCGCGUAGGCGGCCUGCUAAGUCGGACGUGAAAUCCCUCGGCUCAACCGGGGAACUGCGUCCGAUACUGGUGGGCUCGAAUCCGGGAGAGGGAUGUGGAAUUCCAGGUGUAGCGGUGAAAUGCGUAGAUAUCGGGAGGAACACCAGUGGCGAAGGCGACUUCCUGGCCUGUUCUUGACGCUGAGGCGCGAAAGCUAGGGGAGCAAACGGG
rnacentral:rRNA from 1 species